UGGUUGCGUGCCCGGAGGCCCCCCCACCGCAUUCUUGGGCGUCUGGGCGAGGAGGCUAUGGAACUUGGGGAAGAGGGCGGUUGGUAACACAGGGGCUGCAGCGGCGGUUUGUGCUCCUGCUGCCUUUCCUGCAGCUCCACCAUACCCUGGAGCAUAUCACUUUGAUCCUCCAGUAGCCUCAGCAUUGCAUCCUGCCUCCUCUCAUCACGCUGACCCCACCUCUCCUCUCGCUCAUCCCUCCUGUCCUCGCAUUCAUUUUGUGCUUUCCUGGACUCUGAAAUUGUCUCCCUCCACGCAUUAUGCUGGGCUCUUUCAGCGUGGGAGGACUGCAUGAAUUCAGAGAACAUUUCAUCGCGAGUGCGUUUUUUUCAGCUUCUAAUCUUUGAUAGCCUCUGGGACGGAGAUUAUACAUGGAGCGAUGAAACAUUUGCAGCUGCGGGAGGGAAAAACAGGAGAUUAGUCUUUAAAAAGAGACAUUUUAGAGAACAAUGGGUAGACUCUUUCACGGUGAACCAAGCUGUUAACAUUAUAUAGCAUAACAUUAUAUAGCAUAGUGCUUUCUUUACAAGGUCGCAUUUUGCCUCUUAUAUCGAGGGCCUGCCAGUAUGGUGAGAGAUCACACACACAGAGCCAGCGGGCAACAGAAUUCGGCUUGCAGGCAGCCAUGGUUACCAUGAAUGAUAUCACCCUCCUGAGGAUAACACAGAGAGAUAAAGAACAGAUGUUGCUUGAAUGCCAGCAAAUACCGGGUCCAUACGCUGCAAUGCUUUGUUAUGCAAUGAUUCCAGACUAUGUGCUGCUGGCCUGCUGUGGUAAAGUGUCCUACCAUGGAGGACGGAAUAAGGCUGCCCUCCCCAGAAACCAUUUUCAAAGCCUUUGGGAAUACAUCCAGGAGAGCUUCACUGAGAUGUCCCUGGAGGAUUUCCCCUCCAUCCCCAUACACGUUAACAGACUUUUCCAGUUGCUGUAUUGGCCGUGAAUGCAUCCCAAGUCUUAAGGGCAAAUUAAUCAUUAAACACGCUUGCUUUAAAA